AAGUGGGAGACAGUGAUAAGUUAGGUGAAAGGACAUUUAUUGAGAUCUCAUGCUCUCUGUUUCUUUUGGAGGUUUGUAUCUACCUACAUCCCCAAAACAUUGGCUUUGUGGAAGUGGAAAAUGAUGAGAAAGGUAUGGACCAUAUAGUAACAUAUCAAAGUGUUUGCCACUCAAGAACCAAACUGCAAACGUUUAGUACUCGUUUUCACUGUAGGUAAUGGACUGGAUAAAGAUGUUUGGAUACAGUUUUGGGCGGAUCCUGAUAGAGAAAAAA